UACGAAGGGGGCUAGCGUUGCUCGGAAUCACUGGGCGUAAAGGGCGCGUAGGCGGCUUAUCAAGUCGGGGGUGAAAGCCCGUGGCUCAACCACGGAAUGGCCUUCGAUACUGGUAGGCUCGAGACCGGAAGAGGACAGCGGAACUGCGAGUGUAGAGGUGAAAUUCGUAGAUAUUCGCAAGAACACCAGUGGCGAAGGCGGCUGUCUGGUCCGGUUCUGACGCUGAGGCGCGAAAGCGUGGGGAGCAAACAGG
rnacentral:rRNA from 1 species